GCGCCCGUAGCUCAGCCCGGAUUAGAGCGGCAGGGUCCUAACCUGUAGGUCGUAGGUUCAAAUCCUAUCGGGCGCA
rnacentral:tRNA from 1 species